AGAUAAUUUUUAGAUAGGUAUCAAUUGAGUGUUUGCGAGGACGCUGCACAGAUAGGAGUGGGGCUAUGUAGAAUAGAUAUUAAUUUAUUUUUGAAAGAUAUUGAUAAAAUAUAUUAAUAAUCCAUAUAAUAGGAAAUUCGGAAGGACGAAUGAGUGAUUUAGUUAUUAAAAGCGGUUAAUUACAAAAUUACGAUUAGAAUCUGGAGAAUCAAGGGAAAGUAUAUAGGAGUUGUAGAAGUUAAUUAGGAUGCCAAACUAUGAGAGUCAUGAGCCGAGGGCCAUCGCUGUGAUAGUGUGAGCCGAGAGAAGCUUGGUGCUACUUCUUUUCUUUUGUUUGUUAUUUUCUUUGAAUAAGAGGAUUGAGAGUUUCUGAAUAUUGUAAAGUGAAUUAUGGAAUAGAAAUGUGAUUGGUACUAUUUGAGAAGAAGAAAGAUUGAAUGUUGAAAUCUGAUUGUAGUUCACUAAGGAGAAUGAGUCUGUGUUUGUGUGAAACACUGUAAUGUGAAUGGCAGUUCUGUGUGAAGAAUUCCAGUGAUUGGAACAAGGAUAAUUGUGUGCUGAAAGCUAUGAGGGCACAGUAUUACAUUUGGAGAUUAUGAGGGUGAAUAUA
rnacentral:lncRNA from 1 species